GAUGAAUGCUGGCGGCGUGCCUAACACAUGCAAGUCGAGCGGCAGCGAGUUUUACACUGAAUUCUGGAAGCUUCUGGGGAAUAUAGAAGAUUUAUUCAAGAAUUUUGUGUAAAAUGUCGGCGAGCGGCGGACGGCUGAGUAACGCGUAGGAAUUUGCCCCAAAGUGAGGAAUAACUGCCCGAAAGGGUAGCUAAUGCCGCAUAUGGUCUUCGGAUUAAAGCCUUCGGGCGCUUUGGGAGAAGCCUGCGUUGGAUUAGGUAGUUGGUAGGGUAAUGGCCUACCAAGCCGACGAUCCAUAGCUGGUCUGAGAGGAUGAUCAGCCAGACUGGAACUGAGACACGGUCCAGACUCCUACGGGAGGCAGCAGUGAGGAAUCUUCCACAAUGGGCGAAAGCCUGAUGGAGCAACGCCGCGUGAAGGAUGAAGGCCUUCGGGUUGUAAACUUCUUUUAUGAGUGAAGAAUAUGACGGUAACUCAUGAAUAAGCACCGGCUAACUACGUGCCAGCAGCCGCGGUCAUACGUAGGGUGCAAGCAUUAUCCGGAGUGACUGGGCGUAAAGAGUUGCGUAGGCGGUUUAAUAAGUGAAUAGUGAAACCUGGUGGCUCAACCAUACAGACUAUUAUUCAAACUGUUAAACUCGAGAAUGGUAGAGGUAACUGGAAUUUCUAGUGUAGGAGUGAAAUCCGUAGAUAUUAGAAGGAACACCGAUGGCGUAGGCAGGUUACUGGGCCAUUUCUGACGCUAAGGCACGAAAGCGUGGGGAGCGAACCGG
rnacentral:rRNA from 1 species